rnacentral:rRNA from 1 species
UACGUAGGGCGCAAGCGUUGUCCGGAAUUAUUGGGCGUAAAGAGCUCGUAGGCGGCUUGUCACGUCGGGUGUGAAAGCCCGGGGCUUAACCCCGGGUCUGCAUUCGAUACGGGCUAGCUAGAGUGUGGUAGGGGAGAUCGGAAUUCCUGGUGUAGCGGUGAAAUGCGCAGAUAUUAGGAGGAACACCUGUGGCGAAAGCGAGUUACUGGUUCAUUACUGACACUGAGGAACGAAAGCUAGGGUAGCAAAAGGG